CAGCUUAGAUAAUCGUUUUUUUUGUAUUGUCAUAGACGGCUGAGAGUAAGCAAGCCUUUUCUUACACGAAUAAUCCAUCUAUCUGUGCGUCAGUGCCGAAAUACCACAGAUACUAGCAUUACCCAGAUACUAGUAUAACACAGAUACUAGUAUAACACGGAUAAUAUUAUCUCCUCAUUGGUGAUUAUCAACACGGAUUGUUUACUUGAUGCACGUUCUGAAUAAACCCACACGUUCUGGAAGUACCUGUCUCCCUGUGUCUACUCAUCUGACCGUGAGCCUAUCCUUAGGCAUCUGUUCAACUUCACCAAAAGAACUAGUCUAGCCUGAAGAAGUCCCUGUCCUCUGUUACACUCUGGAGACUCCAGAGAACUGGAACGAUGUCUUCCUGCCACUCACCCCCGUAUUACCGACCUGGAUUUGAAGCGCCUGUAGGAAUCUGAAGCACUUUCACUGGACACCACAGUCUGGUUUGAUCUUCAGCUUAACCUGGCAUGACAUGGGCGCGAGUGUGUCUGCCAACAGACAAAAACAUCUUUUGAGAUCUGAAAGGAUGAAAACGGACUUGAAUACGCGUGCCUCUCAAAUAACAAAGAGCACAAAAAAUAGCUUCCUUCCUCAGUUUAAUUUGAAACUGCAAAAAAACUACAAAGCAAACUUUUUUUUUUUUUACUUAACCUUUAACGAUGUAUUCAUGAUUUAAACCAUCCUGUUUAGUUAUCUAUAAAGAGUAGAUCUUAAACUCGUUACAAACAUCUAUGUUGGUUGAAAGACUGCACACAUGGAGCAGAUAGGUUUCUAUCAGUUUUAUUAAUAGUACACAGGUGAGGAAACAUGUUUUAUAUCAUAAACACAUUUUAAACCAUAUGGUCUGUAACACAUAGGAUUGGUUUUACCAACAAUUACCAAUACUCUUAAACUACCUCAUUUAAGACAAGUUAAGGGCCCUUUCACACUGUGUAGGUUUCCCCUGGAAUUCCAUAACUGAGUACAUUUGGCAUUCAGUGUGAAAGCUCCAAACUUUCCCAGGCACGAUUAUAACAAACCAUACUGAAACCACCUGAGGGAGGUGGUCUCGGUACAGUUGCCUCUGUACUCAGUACGGUUCACUUAUUUUUGCUUCAGUGUGAAAGAGAAAUGUACUUGGUUCAAUUGCGAACAUAUCAAACUAUCAAGUGUACCAAACAGUAAUAUUCUUGGAAGCUGUUGCUACGUAAGUGGUAAAUCCAUGAGCAUUAAAUACUCCAGGCUUCGAGUUGCUGGAGCACUGAUAAAAAUACAUAAAUAAUAAUCAUAUAUCACUGGUUACUCCACACAGGCCCUGGUACUGUCCUGCCUUGACUACUGCAACUCCCUCCUGGCCGGCAUCCAAUUCAAAACUCUUGUACUCGCUGUCUUGACCAUUCACUCCCUCCUCUCUCCAAACUAUUAUUUCUCCCUACACAUCCUCUCGCCCCCUCUGCUCCUCCACCUCCGGCAGACUAGAUGUACCCACCCUCCGCUCCCCCGUCUCCAGAGUCCACUCCUUCUCCACCCUUGCCCCUCAGUGUUGGAACGACCUAUCCAUGGAUAUCAGGACUGCUCAGUCCCUGACCUCAAGACACACCUGUUACGACAGCAUCUGCAUACUAUAUCUUGUAUAUGAUUUUACUCAUAGGUAUCUGUACUCACGUUUUCUGUAAUUGCUCUUAUUUGAAAUCAUUCUCAUCCAUUUAUCAUACUUACUAUGUGUUCUUACUGGACUUUACUCAAAUAAGCAAAUAGUUACUAUAAGGUUUAACUGCACUUAGUCGAAUUUAUUCUUACUUAAGUUACUGUAUGCUUUAUUUUGCUCUUACUUGAAUUGAUUAUUGUAUUGUACUUUCAUAUCUGCUCUUAUCUGUAUUAGGAUAUUCUGUAAUGUGAUAUUUUAUAAUGUGAUACUUUGUACUAUGAUAACUUGUAACAAUUCUAAGUCGCCCUGGAUAAGGGA